rnacentral:rRNA from 1 species
AUUGAACGCUGGCGGCAGGCCUAACACAUGCAAGUCGAGCGGAUGAAGAGAGCUUGCUCUCUGAUUUAGCGGCGGACGGGUGAGUAAUGCCUAGUAAUCUGCCUGGUAGUGGGGGAUAACGUUCCGAAAGGAACGCUAAUACCGCAUACGUCCUACGGGAGAAAGCAGGGGAUCUUCGGGCCUUGCGCUAUCAGAUGAGCCUAGGUCGGAUUAGCUAGUUGGUGAGGUAAUGGCUCACCAAGGCGACGAUCCGUAACUGGUCUGAGAGGAUGAUCAGUCCAACUGGAACUGCGACACGGUCCAGACUCCUACGGGAGGCAGCAGUGGGGAAUAUUGGACAAUGGGCGAAAGCCUGAUCCAGCCAUGCCGCGUGUGUGAAGAAGGUCUUCGGAUUGUAAAGCACUUUAAGUUGGGAGGAAGAGCAUUAACCUAAUACGUUAGUGUUUUGACUUUACCAACAGAAUAAGCACCGGCUAACUUCGUGCCAGCAGCCGCAGUAACAC